GGGCCAUAGCUCAGUGGUAGAUCACCUGUUUUGCAUGCAGAUGGUUUCAAGUUCAAUUCCUGGCAUCUCCU